UGGGAUGUGAAUUUACAGGACUUCAAGGU
rnacentral:piRNA from 1 species